AUGGUUGAUGUAGUUUUUGCCAUUCGUCGUACCCGUAUCGUCCCCGUACCCCAGUCCCGUAUCCGUAUCCGUGCUACGUAGCUCACCCCUGACCCUAUCAACAACUAUGCUAUAAAGUGGAUUAAACUGGUUACAUUUAUCUGUUAUUCUUGCAAAAUUGAAGAGCAAGAUUGUAUUUGUGGUUCAAAUCAAAUAAAUGUUAUGCAGGGGAGAUCGGGAACUAUGAUUCAUAUAAAAAGAACCAGAACGCGUCAUUUACACAAUUUGAUGAAGCAUAAAUAAUGACUUGUUCCCCAUGGAAAUCCAGUCCCGAUCAUAUCAAGUAUAUCAGUUUACCUGACCUGAUAUUGGUAGUAAGUUCACAUGCCUGAUGCGACAUAUUCAUCUGUUAUGACUUCUGGAUUUAGGCAAGCAGCAGCUUCACAAUUCAAUGCAGCGAAAAAACAAGUUACAUGUGAGUAAACUGAGUAUAAAUUCAUCAUCAAAGGGGGUGUUUGGAUGUGUAUUUUGAAACAGGUUAUGUGAUAUUUAACAGUUAAACUCAAA
rnacentral:lncRNA from 1 species